AGAGUUUGAUCCUAGCUCAGAUUGAACGCUGGCGGAAUGCUUUACACAUGCAAGUCGAACGAUGAACCUUAGCUUGCUAAGGGGAUUAGUGGCGAACGGGUGAGUAAUAUAUCGGAACGUGCCUUGUAAUGGGGGAUAACUAGUCGAAAGAUUAGCUAAUACCGCAUACGCCCUGAGGGGGAAAGUAGGGGAUCUUCGGACCUUACGUUAUAAGAGCGGCCGAUAUCUGAUUAGCUAGUUGGUGGGGUAAUGGCCUACCAAGGCGACGAUCAGUAGCUGGUCUGAGAGGACGACCAGCCACACUGGAACUGAGACACGGUCCAGACUCCUACGGGAGGCAGCAGUGGGGAAUUUUGGACAAUGGGCGCAAGCCUGAUCCAGCCAUUCCGCGUGAGUGAAGAAGGCCUUCGGGUUGUAAAGCUCUUUCGCAAGGGAAGAAAACUUACAUUCUAGUAAAGUGUGAGGCUGACGGAACCUUGAUAAGAAGCACCGGCUAACUACGUGCCAGCAGCCGCGGUAAUACGUAGGGUGCGAGCGUUAAUCGGAAUUACUGGGCGUAAAGCGUGCGCAGGCGGUUUGGCAAGUCAGAUGUGAAAUCCCCGAGCUCAACUUGGGAACUGCGUUUGAAACUGCCAGACUAGAAUAUGUCAGAGGGGGGUAGAAUUCCACGUGUAGCAGUGAAAUGCGUAGAGAUGUGGAGGAAUACCAAUGGCGAAAGGCAGCCCCCUGGGAUAAUAUUGACGCUCAUGCACGAAAGCGUGGGGAGCAAACAGGAUUAGAUACCCUGGUAGUCCACGCCCUAAACGAUGUCUACUAGUUGUUGGUGGAGUAAAAUCCAUGAGUAACGCAGCUAACGCGUGAAGUAGACCGCCUGGGGGAGUACGGUCGCAAGAUUAAAACUCAAAGGAAUUGACGG
rnacentral:rRNA from 1 species